ACUAGUCUGGGAUACCACUUGGAAACAGGUGCUAAUACCGGAUAAGAAAGCGGAUCGCAUGANCAGCUUUUAAAAGGCGGCGUAAGCUGUCGCUAUGGGAUGGCCCCGCGGUGCAUUAGCUAGUUGGUAAGGUAAAGGCUUACCAAGGCGAUGAUGCAUAGCCGAGUUGAGAGACUGAUCGGCCACAUUGGGACUGAGACACGGCCCAAACUCCUACGGGAGGCAGCAGCG
rnacentral:rRNA from 1 species